AUCCAGCUGACGAGUCCCAAAUAGGACGAAAUGUGCAUCUUGCAU
rfam:Schistosoma margrebowiei strain Zambia genome assembly, scaffold: SMRZ_contig0000957